ensembl:lncRNA
AUAUCUCAGAGUUCAACAUAAAUGGCAAUAACAUAGGUAAUACAUAAAAUAAUAAUUCAAACUAGUAAAAAAAUUAAGUAAAAGCUAGUAAAAACAUGGAGCUUCAUGUAGGGGACCCAGAAGAGCGAGGUGCUUGCAGAUCUAAGGGUGCGGUUCUUGUAGAUAGGGAGGUGCAUGUCCAUUUAUGCAUUCAUGAGUGAGUAGUAGAAUUUUGUAGUCAGUCCGGAAAGAGACAGGAAGCCAGUGUAGUGAGUGUAGGACGGGUGUUAUGUGUUCAUAUUUCGGGACUCCCAUCAGGAUCCUGUCAGCGCUGUUUUGGAUGAAUGGUCGUUUCAGGAUAUUCUUCCCAGUGAUUACAGUUAAAAGUGAAUUACAGUAGUCCAGUCUUGAGGAGAUACAGGCAUGGACAAGCUUCUCUGCAUCUGACAGGGUAAACGUGGGGCGGAGUUUGGAGAUGUUUUUGGUCAGGUAUUUUACAUGGUCAUUAAAGGUCAGGCGAGGGUCAAACCUAACUCCCAGAUUGGUAACUGUGGAGAGAGGUAUGACCUGACUGUCAAAGGUGAGAUGGAUAAUGGAGGAUGACUGAACCUGGUGUGGAGUGCCAACAAGAAGGGCUUCGGUGUUGGAUUAGCGGUUUAGCUAGAGAAAGUUGUCGUGCCUUUAUCUCCCCAAGACAGGCGAUGAGACAUGACAUGGCAGCAGAGGGGCUCGGGACAGUCUUGAUGUAGAGCUGUGUGUCGUCAGCAUAACAGUGAAAGGACCUUCCAUGUUUGCUGAUGACACGGCCAAGGGGGAGCAUGUUGGUGAUAAAGAAGUUGGGGCCAAGGACGGACCCUUGCGGAACACCACAGGAGACAGGGAGCAGUCUGGACUGCAUCUUCCCAGUAAGACCUAUUCAGUUCGGCCAGAAAAGUAGGACUGAAACCACUUAAGUCUGAUUUUCCAAUGGUGGUGUGGAGGCACUCUAGGAGGAUAGUGUGAUCCACUGUAUCAAAUGCAGCAGUCAGGUCCAGGAUGAUGAGAAUUGAGGGUGAUCCAGCCUCAGCUGUCAUCAGCAGGUCAUUCGGCACCCUGAGCAAAGCUGUUUCCGUGCUGUGAGCUGAAAGGAAUCCUGACUGAAUUUUUUCAAACAAGUUGUUGUGCUUGAGGUAGCCCUGAAGUUGAGAACCUCAUCUAGCACCUGGUACAGGAAGGGAAGGUUGGAGAUCUGUAUUGUGGUCUGUUGUUGGCUAG